rnacentral:lncRNA from 1 species
ACAAUUUUAUUACAUUUAGAAAAUUGAUUGAUGCUAAUGGCUUAAUUAGAAGAGGUAGGAUCAGUAAACUUUCUAAAAUCCAUUUCAACUUCAGUCAAGGAGGAUACAUAAUCAUCAAAGUUAGUAGGCUUUUAAACCUAGAUGGCCUCCUUAGUUGAUUAUUAGGUUUAUUAAGAGUUUCAGUUUUCUGGAUUAACUCUUGCCUAAGUUGCUAUCACUUUCAUAAUUCUAAGUGUGCGCAAGAGGUGUAAUCGGAGUAAAAUUUAAUAGGUCUCUUCCCCCCGCCUCUUGCACUUCUAGCAAAUCCUGAUAAGGACUUUUACUGCUCCCACUGACUUAGAAAUCUUUAACAAUUUAGCAUGCUUAUGGUCAACAUUAGAAGACUAAUAAAUUCUAAUAGAGAAACAAAUUAAAGAAGUUACUCAUUGUAGUUUCUCUGUUUGAAGAUUACAAUUUUUGGCAAGAAAUCUGAGUGUGCCCACGUUUAAGCAGCAAUGAAACUUUUGUUAGAGUAGCAGUAUAUUCUUAAAGAGAAAAGUUGUGAAGGAGCAAUGUCUUGUACAAGAGGUGCAAAUUGAGGUAAUAACAAGUUUUCACUCCCCCACCUCUUGCAACUCUCGCAAAUUAAGAUUAAGACACUUAAUACUCCCACUAACCUUUUAGAUCUGUAUGAAUGCUACAAGAUAAGUUUCAAUGAUGUAUGUGCUGUGGGAACAUGUCAUAUAUGUUAGACUUGAUUUCCUUAAUGUCCAUAUGUUAUAAAAAUUUUGGGGACAUAUUUAGAAGGAAUCAUAAUAUAUAUGAAUUAAUUUCUUUA